rnacentral:antisense_RNA from 1 species
UUGUUUUCUAAUUUAGAGACUUGCAUCUUUUCGACUCUCAACAUUAUCAAGACACUCUGCUACUACAGAUUGAUUUCCACCAUCAACACCUUUACCUCUUCCCGCCUGAAAAUAAAAUAUGAAAUACAACAAGUAAAUCGCAACCUACCUUGCACAGUAUCUUCUGGAGAGGGAAAGAAGAAACCAUGUCUAGACAAGGUGCUGGAAAGACCCAGGGAAGACAUAGGGAAAUCAUCUUUUGGGAACUUAUCUAAGAACUUCUUAUGAUACAUGAAGUCUGGGGGUAAGACCUGCAGUAAUUUCCUUUAAGAUACUACAGAAUUUCUAAGGACUUGAGGAAUAAUUGCACUCUUGAAACAGCCUAUGAAAAAAGAAGAGACUUGGGAAAUUUAACAGAAGUUCACUUUCCACCACUGUGCAAACUAAGGAAAAACUUACAGCAGUAAAUAGCUUCAGUUGGCAAAGCUAUUUUGGCUCAUAAGCAGCUAUCAGGCCUUGAUAAGGUCCACAAGUCUGCUGUUCUAAAAUUAAAGAAAAAAAAA